rnacentral:rRNA from 1 species
UGGGGAAUAUUGGACAAUGGGCGCAAGCCUGAUCCAGCCAUGCCGCGUGGGUGAUGAAGGCCCUAGGGUUGUAAAGCCCUUUCGGCGGGGAAGAUAAUGACGGUACCCGCAGAAGAAGCCCCGGCUAACUUCGUGCCAGCAGCCGCGGUAAUACGAAGGGGGCUAGCGUUGCUCGGAAUCACUGGGCGUAAAGCGCACGUAGGCGGACUCUUAAGUCGGGGGUGAAAUCCUGGAGCUCAACUCCAGAACUGCCUUCGAUACUGGGAGUCUUCGAGUUCGGGAGAGGUGAGUGGAACUGCGAGUGUAGAGGUGAAAUUCGUAGAUAUUCGCAAGAACACCAGUGGCGAAGGCGGCUCACUGGCCCGAUACUGACGCUGAGGUGCGAGAGCGUGGGGAGCAAACAGGAUUAGAUACCCUGGUAGUCCACGCCGUAAACGAUGGAUGCUAGCCGUUGGCGGGUUUACUCGUCAGUGGCGCAGCUAACGC